UACGAAGGGGGCUAGCGUUGUUCGGAUUUACUGGGCGUAAAGCGCACGUAGGCGGAUCGUUAAGUCGGGGGUGAAAUCCUGGGGCUCAACCCCAGAACUGCCUUCGAUACUGGCGAUCUCGAGUCCGGAAGAGGUGAGUGGAACUCCUAGUGUAGAGGUGGAAUUCGUAGAUAUUAGGAAGAACACCAGUGGCGAAGGCGGCUCACUGGUCCGGUACUGACGCUGAGGAGCGAAAGCGUGGGGGAGCAAACAGG
rnacentral:rRNA from 1 species